CAGCACCUCAAGUGGUGGUCGUUAUUAUUGAGCCUAAAGCGUCCGUAGCCUGGCUAGUAAACCUCUGGGUAAAUCGGGGAGCUCAACUCUCCGACUUCUGGAGAGACUGCUAGCCUUGGGACUGGGAGAGGUCGGAGGAACUCUAAGGGUAGGGGUGAAAUCCUGUAAUCCUUAGAGGACCGCCAGUGGCGAAGGCGUCCGACUAGAACGGGUCCGACGGUCAGGGACGAAGCCCAGGGGAACAAACCGGAUUAGAUACCCGAGUAGUCC
rnacentral:rRNA from 1 species